rnacentral:sRNA from 1 species
UUUGCGUUAGGGAUUGAAAUGGAAAUCCUUUUUUAUGUAAGUUCGAGUGAAUUUAUGAAGAAUGAAUAAAUUUGUAUGAAGAACAAAUAAAAAAGAUUGUAAUGUAAAGCCCGACCUUUG